CCUACGGGAGGCAGCAGUGGGGAAUCUUGCGCAAUGGGCGAAAGCCUGACGCAGCCAUGCCGCGUGAAUGAUGAAGGUCUUAGGAUUGUAAAAUUCUUUCACCGAGGACGAUAAUGACGGUACUCGGAGAAGAAGCCCCGGCUAACUUCGUGCCAGCAGCCGCGGUAAUACGAAGGGGGCUAGCGUUGCUCGGAAUUACUGGGCGUAAAGGGAGCGUAGGCGGAUAGUUUAGUCAGAGGUGAAAGCCCAGGGCUCAACCUUGGAAUUGCCUUUGAUACUGGCUAUCUUGAGUACGGAAGAGGUAUGUGGAACUCCGAGUGUAGAGGUGAAAUUCGUAGAUAUUCGGAAGAACACCAGUGGCGAAGGCGACAUACUGGUCCGUUACUGACGCUGAGGCUCGAAAGCGUGGGGAGCAAACAGGAUUAGAUACCCUGGUAGUCCACGCUGUAAACGAUGAGUGCUAGUUGUCGGCAUGCAUGCAUGUCGGUGCGCAGCUACGCAUAAGACGACUCCGCCGUGGGUAGGUACGGUCGCGAAGUAGUUAAACGUUACAAGUAGUUAGUUAGUACGGCGNGAGAGNGCGACGGACGACGACGAGGGAGGAGG
rnacentral:rRNA from 1 species